CAAUUCAUUCCAUCUAUGAACAUUUAUUGAGACAGAAGUGCUAAAUUUCAAAUACGUUUUGAGAAAUCUGGCAAUAAAAAGAACAUCAAGAAGAUAAAAGCUUAUAGAGGAGGCAGGAUCCAAUCUACAUUUCAAUGGAAUAGGAAGACUUGUGCAUGUUUUCUGGGCCAAAGCAAAGCAACCACAAAAGUAAGACACUCAAGAUAUUUCAGACUCAAGAUACAGAAAACAAGAGCCAAGAGGAGGAAGAGAGACCCACAGGCAUCAAGGAGGGGCUGCUCUCCAAACAUGUUUGGAAAAGUAAAUCUAUGUGGCAUAAGAAGUAGACUGUGCUGGUCAUGGAGAUGCACCAUUUAGAUCUUAUUCA
rnacentral:lncRNA from 1 species